UACGGAAGGCAGCAGUGGGGAAUAUUGCACAAUGGGCGCAAGCCUGAUGCAGCCAUGCCGCGUGUAUGAAGAAGGCCUUCGGGUUGUAAAGUACUUUCAGUCGUGAGGAAGGUGUUAAGGUUAAUAACCUUAGCAAUUGACGUUAGCGACAGAAGAAGCACCGGCUAACUCCGUGCCAGCAGCCGCGGUAAUACGGAGGGUGCGAGCGUUAAUCGGAAUUACUGGGCGUAAAGGGCACGCAGGCGGUUAAUUAAGUUGGAUGUGAAAUCCCCGGGCUUAACCUGGGAAUGGCAUUCAAGACUGGUUAGCUAGAGUCUUGUAGAGGGGGUAGAAUUCCAUGUGUAGCGGUGAAAUGCGUAGAGAUGUGGAGGAAUACCGGGUGGGCGAAGGCGGGCCCCUGGGACAAAGACUGACGCUCAUGUGCGAAAGCGUGGGGAGCAAACAGGGAUUAGAUACC
rnacentral:rRNA from 1 species